GCGACAUAGAGGCAGAAGCUUGGCUUCUCUGGACCCCAGUUUUUGUUUGUUUGAUUGAUUCCCUUUUGUUUUUACUCUAAAUUAGGCCUCCCUCCUGAUCUAUCCUACUCUUUGCCCGGCUGAGGGCGGCAAGAUUGCCAGUACAUGGAGGUGGAAAGGGCAGGAAGAUUUCACUGGAAAACUUUUCUGACUCUGAUGAGAUAAUCAUCUGUUGUUGGAGGUGAGUUAGCCUCGCUCCCAGGUCUGCUGGGUCAGCUCAGGGACCAGCAUAUACCCGGGAAAGAACGCCCUGCCCGGGGCCCCGGAGACUCCGGACUCCUGAGGGUGGACACGUGAAGCCUUUGACCCGAUUUGCUGGGUGAGACUCCUGAGAAGUGAGAACGGUUCCCUCCUCGUGGCCCUUGCUCUGCAAAUCCUCAGCCUGGGGCAGACCCACCCGGCUGCAUUCCACCCACUGACCCCGCAGCCGGACACACGACACAGGCCAUGCGGGACCCUCCCGCCGCCUCCUUCAGGAAGAGCUGCUCCAGAGGGCUGGCCGCCCAGAGAAAUCCGAGCCCCACUGGUUGUGUAAGGCUGGGCUCCGGGGGUUUGGGGGUGGGGGGCCCAACGAAACCUUUGACUCCCCGCUCUGUCCUCCCCGCCCUGCUCCCCACCCUGGCACCGCAAAUCCAGCAGUGAGGAGCCGGCUCGUCUGCCCCCAUAAUUGUCAACAAUAGAAUUCCUGUUGCUACUACCCCUGUAGGCAGCUCCGACUGCUCACGCACGUCGCCGGGCUGGGGGAUGGAGCCCAGAGGCCGGGGCUCGCGCCUCUCCAGCGCGGGCUCCUCUGUCCUGACCCGGGCCAGCCCUCCGGCUGCGCGCUCCGGAGGGCUCAGGGCCAGGCUGUUGGUUGUGUACUCUGUCGCGAGACGUGGUGCUUGUCUACAGUUAGUGCCCAGUGCUUCCUCCUUUGGGAUAUCCCUUUUCUAUUUGACUUCAGGACAUGCAUUUGGCUUUGAAGGGCUCGCGCUUGCUUUUGAAACUCAAAAAGUGAUCUGAUGAGGCUACAAUCGCUUAGGCACCUUCUUUUGCCUGAGGCUUUCAGAUAAUUCACAUCACAGGGUGUUUAAUGCUCAGGCUGGACCCAUUUGGGGCAAAGUACUAAGGAACACGCACACACGUGUGCACACACACAGCCUGGACAGGCCAUGUUUCCUCAAGACUAAAGAUCUCACGCACAGUUAGAUGCUCUAUCAUUUUAUGAACAUCUAAGCAAAAGCAGUGGCUGCCACCUGAACUACGCUACGCCGUCAUCUAGAAAAUGCCUCCCCAUUUCAGAGAUGUUGAAAUGUGGCUGUGAGUCCGGGAGGUACAGCAGUUAAGCAUCUUGACAGGAUGUGUGCUGUCAUGUUAGACAGACCAGAUUUCUAUACCUGAAAUAGAUUAAAGACCAAGAUAGUCUGUACUUAAGAAGUACACAGUUCGGCCCAGGGGAGACGCUUCAUGGGAAUUCAGAGGAGAGAAGCACCAGCUGGGCGGAGGCAGAUUGAGGAAGGAUUUGAAAGGAAGGUGAAGUUAUUUGAGCCUCGAAGAGUGAGGCUCUGAAUGCAAGGAGGGGCCGGGAAGUGGCAUCAUGGAAAGUCCUCGGAGCUCAGGCGUGGGCAGGGAGGCGAGGGGGGCACGGGCCCGGGCAGGGGCAGCAGUGCCGGGCAGCCGUCACACUGACUGCAGCUCGGGUGUGGUGGUAGGGGUGCCCGGUCACCUGUACACAGAGCUCUUCGCACACUGUCACGUCGCCAUCCUCACGGCCCGGAGGUGAGGCAGGUUCCCCAGGAGCACAAGUCGUGCACUUAGUAAGUGCUUCCAGGAGAGCCUGGUAAGGGACCGGGAUGAACAACCAGCUCAGGAACCAGAAGAAGGCCAAGUCCCAGCCUGAUUCCGGGGGGGCACCGAGUGUGUGGACGUCACGUCUCAGAGAACGGAAGCUGGGGUGCACCUGUCAGCCUGGGCUGGUGGAAGUGGGGCCCGGGAGGAUGGAAAUCCCCACGCACUGCAGACUUGCUAAGAUGUGUGGCAAAGUGACUCCUCCAGGUGGUCCUCCAAGGAGACCUGCAGACAACUGCCGAGAACCAGAUUUGAUUGCACAGUAAAGAAACUUGAAUUAAAAUAGGAGCGACAGAACCAUCAGUGAGCUGUGGAAUUUCUCAACUAUCUUUUGUUCCCUUUGCUCUACAUUAAAAUAGAAAGAUGGAGUCAAGCAUUGAAUGUCUGCAAGCUGGCUGUUACACUGCUGACAACUUCUCAUCAGACAUAGUCAAGAUGCUGCAGGCAGAGGACUGGCUCUGGUCCAGGAACUAGGCAAGAGAUUUUGGAGAACAUGCAGUGAUAGGCUAGGAAACCGGCUUUCCAAAAAAAGGUCGUGGUUUGCAGUGUUUGCCCAUUUCCUUGAUGUAAAUGCUCCCACCCCAGAAGGAAGACUCCUACAGUCAAGACACGAGUCAAGAUAGGGACUCAAAAUCAGCCUUGCAACCUGGGAAUAAUGGCUGAAAUUAGUGCUGCUUUAAAGACCAGGAGGAUGUGGGGGUGGUUCCCAUAACACCUCCUUUCACCAGUGCGGCCCCUGAAACACCCAGACAGAUCCUGAAAAUGACGGCGAACUGUUGCAAACUCAGCCAAGGAGCAGCCCAGGUUGCAGCUGCUGUGACAGAUGUGCUGUAUUUGCUGGAGCAGCCUCACCCAGGAUUCAGUGCGCAGUAAGCAACUGCCGAUUUGGUGAGCGCAUGUGCAAAUGAGAAAUACUGCAGCCAGAUCAGUAAACAAAGGAUGUGGUGGCCGUCAAGUCAUUAGACACUGCAGCCACCCCUGACUGUGAGUCCGGCCCCUGCAGCCACCCGCAGUGGGGCACCCUGGGGAACUCAGGGUGGAAAAGAACAGGACACUGGCCCUAGACAGCUAAGGUGCACAUCAAAGGAGUGAUUUCAGUAAGCCCGGACUUUUGCACCUUCCCACGCCUCGAAAGUGUUAAAUUCCUUCACUUGAGAUGUCUGGUUUUCUUUAAUUAACAGUUAUCUUUUGAUGUUCCAACUAUUUGGUCUUUGUUGCAAAAACUCUUAUACAUCCUGGCUCCUCCUUUGCCUCUUUGGAGCAGUCUAUUAUAGUGACCUGAGAGGUCAAUUUUUGGGCUCUAGUUCUCAGAAAAUCUGCUGAAUAAAACAUAACUUUCAACUUCUGGUUAUGCCUUUUUUCAGUCGACAUAUACUUUUCCAUUCU